GACGAACGCUGGCGGCGUGCUUAACACAUGCAAGUCGAACGAUGAAGCCGGAGCUUGCUCUGGUGAAUUAGUGGCGAACGGGUGAGUAACACGUGAGUAACCUGCCCUUGACUCUGGGAUAACUGCGGGAAACUGUAGCUAAUACCGGAUACGACCCUCGGAGGCAUCUCCUGGGGGUGGAAAGAAUUUCGGUCAAGGAUGGACUCGCGGCCUAUCAGCUAGUUGGUGAGGUAAAGGCUCACCAAGGCGACGACGGGUAGCCGGCCUGGGAGGGUGACCGGCCACACUGGGACUGAGACACGGCCCAGACUCCUACGGGAGGCAGCAGUGGGGAAUAUUGCACCAUGGGCGCAAGCCUGAUGCAGCAACGCCGCGUGAGGGAUGACGGCCUUCGGGUUGUAAACCUCUUUUAGCAGGGAAGAAGCGAAAGUGACGGUACCUGCAGAAAAAGCACCGGCUAACUACGUGCCAGCCGCCGCAGUAA
rnacentral:rRNA from 1 species